rnacentral:rRNA from 1 species
UACGUAGGGUGCGAGCGUUAAUCGGAAUUACUGGGCGUAAAGCGUGCGCAGGCGGCUUUGCAAGACAGAUGUGAAAUCCCCGGGCUCAACCUGGGAACUGCAUUUGUGACUGCAAGGCUAAAGUACGGCAGAGGGGGAUGGAAUUCCGCGUGUAGCAGUGAAAUGCGUAGAUAUGCGGAGGAACACCAAUGGCGAAGGCAAUCCCCUGGGCCUGUACUGACGCUCAUGCACGAAAGCGUGGGGAGCAAACAGG